GCUCUGCUCUGAGAGAUGAUCGGAUCUGACAUAACAACUCCGUCUGAUUCGUCGUAGGAAGAUGGAAGACCGGGAGAAGAUCGAUCUUCUUACUUACUAAGGUUUUCGACCGAUUGAAGCACUCUUUGCACAACAUUGUUGCCGGAAUAUUAAGGGGGCUUCCUUUCCCUUCCGAAAGCUGUCGACACCAAAAAGUGUUGCACCCAAAAUUUGGCUGUAAUUGACGCCGUCCACGCCAAGAAACGAUCGAUAGAUGCAUCAAUGUAGCGGUAGCGCUUCUGAAGAGGGAACCCCGAAAUAAAAAUUAAUCAUCUUUGUUUACCCACACGUUGAUGAAAGACGUUUAUCUUCCUCAUCAUCAUCGUCGUCUCAUCAUCAUCACCUCGCCGUGUUGUUGAUCUUCUUGACACCUCCGGUAAGCUGAUGUCAUUGCGUGAACUCCUUUUUAUGGUUACUCAAACUAAAAACCCUUCCGAUAAGUUCCAAGUUCACGUGCCAGAAAAUGGACCAGAG